rnacentral:rRNA from 1 species
UGGGGAAUAUUGGACAAUGGGCGAAAGCCUGAUCCAGCCAUGCCGCGUGUGUGAAGAAGGUCUUCGGAUUGUAAAGCACUUUAAGUUGGGAGGAAGGGCAGUAAGCGAAUACCUUGCUGUUUUGACGUUACCGACAGAAUAAGCACCGGCUAACUCUGUGCCAGCAGCCGCGGUAAUACAGAGGGUGCAAGCGUUAAUCGGAAUUACUGGGCGUAAAGCGCGCGUAGGUGGUUCGUUAAGUUGAAUGUGAAAGCCCCGGGCUCAACCUGGGAACUGCAUCCAAAACUGGCGAGCUAGAGUAGGGCAGAGGGUGGUGGAAUUUCCUGUGUAGCGGUGAAAUGCGUAGAUAUAGGGAGGAACACCAGUGACGAAGGCGACCACCUGGGCUCAUACUGACACUGAGGUGCGAAUGCGUGGGGAGCAAACAGG